rnacentral:rRNA from 1 species
AUUGAACGCUGGCGGCAGGCCUAACACAUGCAAGUCGAACGAGUGGCGGACUGGUGAGUAAUGUCUGGAAAACUGCCUGAUGGAGGGGGAUAACUACUGGAAACGGUAGCUAAUACCGCAUACCAUCGUAUGUGUCCAGAUGGGAUUAGCUUGUAGGGUAGGUAACGGCUCAACUAGGCGACGCUCCCUACCUGGUCUGAGAGGAUGACCAGCCACACUGGAACGGAGACACGGUCCAGACUCCGACGGGAGGCAGCAGUGGGGAAUAUGACACAAUGGGCGCAAGCCUGACGCAGCAAUGCCGCGUGUGUGAAGAAGGCCUUCGGGUUGUAAAUUACUUUAAGCUGGGAGGCGGUACCCGAAGAAGAAGCACCGGCUAACUCCGUGCCAGCAGCCGCGGUAAUUC